rnacentral:rRNA from 1 species
ACGCUGGCGGCACGCCUAACACAUGCAAGUCGAACGAAGUAGCAAUACUUAGUGGCAGACGGGUGAGUAACAUGUAGGUAUCUGCCCUUUGGCCUGGAAUAACACGAGGAAACUUGUGCUAAUACCGGAUAAGUCUUUACGGAGAAAGCUUUAUGCACCAUUGGAUGAGCCUGCACUUGAUUAGUUUGUUGGUAGGGUAAUGGCCUACCAAGACUGUGAUCAAUAGCUGAUUUGAGAGGAUGAUCAGCCACAUUGGGACUGAGACACGGCCCAAACUCCUACGGGAGGCAGCAGUGGGGAAUCUUGCACAAUGGAGGAAACUCUGAUGCAGCGAUGCCGCGUGAGUGAAGAAGGCCCUUGGGUUGUAAAGCUCUUUCGUCGGGGAAGAAAAUGACUGUACCCGAAUAAGAAGGUCCGGCUAACUUCGUGCCAGCAGCCGCGGUAAUACGAAGGGACCUAGCGUAGUUCGGAAUUACUGGGCUUAAAGAGUUCGUAGGUGGUUGAAAAAGUUGGUGGUGAAAUCCCAGAGCUUAACUCUGGAACUGCCAUCAAAACUUUUCAGCUAGAGUUUGAUAGAGGAAAGCAGAAUUUCUAGUGUAGAGGUGAAAUUCGUAGAUAUUAGAAAGAAUACCAAUUGCGAAGGCAGCUUUCUGGAUCAUUACUGACACUGAGGAACGAAAGCAUGGGUAGCGAAGAGGAUUAGAUACCCUCGUAGUCCAUGCCGUAAACGAUGUGUGUUAGACGUUGGAAAUUUAUUUUCAGUGUCGCAGCGAAAGCGAUAAACACACCGCCUGGGGAGUACGACCGCAAGGUUAAAACUCAAAUGAAUUGACGGGGACCCGCACAAGUAGUGGAGCAUGUGGUUUAAUUCGAAGAUACGCGCAGAACCUUACCAACACUUGACAUGUUCGUCGCGACUCUAAGAGAUUAGAGUUUUCGGUUCGGCCGGACGAAACACAGGUGCUGCAUGGCUGUCGUCAGCUCGUGUCGUGAGAUGUUGGGUUAAGUCCCGCAACGAGCGCAACCCUCACUUUUAGUUGCCAUCAUUAGGUUGGGCACUCUGAAAGAACUGCCAGUGAUGAGCUGGAGGAAGGUGGGGAUGACGUCAAGUCCUCAUGGCCCUUACGUGUUGGGCUACACACGUGCUACAAUGGUAUCUACAACAGGAAGCAAGACUGCGAAGUUAAGCAAAUCCCUAAAAGACACCUCAGUUCGGAUUGCACUCUGCAACUCGAGUGCAUGAAGCUGGAAUUACUAGUAAUCGUGGAUCAGCGUGCCACGGUGAAUGCGUUCCCGGGUCUUGUACACACCGCCCGUCA